rnacentral:rRNA from 1 species
GUGUGAGAGUGGAAAGUUCACACUGUGACGGUAUCUUACCAGAAAGGGACGGCUAACUACGUGCCAGCAGCCGCGGUAAUACGUAGGUCCCGAGCGUUGUCCGGAUUUAUUGGGCGUAAAGCGAGCGCAGGCGGUUUGAUAAGUCUGAAGUUAAAGGCUGUGGCUCAACCAUAGUUCGCUUUGGAAACUGUCAAACUUGAGUGCAGAAGGGGAGAGUGGAAUUCCAUGUGUAGCGGUGAAAUGCGUAGAUAUAUGGAGGAACACCGGUGGCGAAAGCGGCUCUCUGGUCUGUAACUGACGCUGAGGCUCGAAAGCGUGGGGAGCGAACAGGAUUAGAUACCCUGGUAGUCCACGCCGUAAACGAUGAGUGCUAGGUGUUGGAUCCUUUCCGGGAUUCAGUGCCGCAGCUAACGCAUUAAGCACUCCGCCUGGGGAGUACGACCGCAAGGUUGAAACUCAAAGGAAUUGACGGGGGCCCGCACAAGCGGUGGAGCAUGUGGUUUAAUUCGAGGCAACGCGAAGAACCUUACCAGGUCUUGACAUCCCGAUGCUAUUUCUAGAGAUAGAAAGUUACUUCGGUACAUCGGUGACAGGUGGUGCAUGGUUGUCGUCAGCUCGUGUCGUGAGAUGUUGGGUUAAGUCCCGCAACGAGCGCAACCCCUAUUGUUAGUUGCCAUCAUUCAGUUGGGCACUCUAGCGAGACUGCCGGUAAUAAACCGGAGGAAGGUGGGGAUGACGUCAAAUCAUCAUGCCCCUUAUGACCUGGGCUACACACGUGCUACAAUGGUUGGUACAACGAGUUGCGAGUCGGUGACGGCGAGCUAAUCUCUUAAAGCCAAUCUCAGUU